rnacentral:rRNA from 1 species
UGCGUAGGCGGGUCUCUAAGUCAGAGGUGAAAGCCUGGAGCUCAACUCCAGAACUGCCUUUGAUACUGGAAGUCUUGAGUAUGGCAGAGGUGAGUGGAACUGCGAGUGUAGAGGUGAAAUUCGUAGAUAUUCGCAAGAACACCAGUGGCGAAGGCGGCUCACUGGGCCAUUACUGACGCUGAGGACACCAAAGGACUGGGGAGCAAACA